GUGGCGGAAGGGCGAGUAAUGCAUAGAUAACCUACCCUCGAGAUGGGAAUAACCAUCCGAAAGGAUGGCUAAUACCCAAUAAGACCACGGGGCGCAUGUCCUGUGCUCAAAGAUGGGGACCCGCAAGGGCCUUUCGCUCGGGGAGGGGUUUAUGUCCUAUCAGCUAGUUGGUGAGGUAAAAGCUUACCAAGGCGAUGACGGGUAGCCGACCUGAGAGGGUGACCGGCCGCUCUGGGACUGAGACACUGCCCAGACUCCUACGGGAGGCUGCAGUCGAGGAUCUUCCGCAAUGCGCGAAAGCGUGACGGAGCGACGCCGCGUGGGUGAUGAAGGCCUUCGGGUUGUAAAACCCUGUCGCCUGGGAAGAAUGGCGGGAGGUGAAUAGCCAUCUCGUCUGACGCUACCAGGAAAGG
rnacentral:rRNA from 1 species